rfam:Halocynthia roretzi TuKv4a mRNA for Kv4 class voltage-gated potassium channel full-length isoform, complete cds.
CUAGGAUAUGGUGAUAUGGUGCCUAAAACAAUUGCCGGAAAAAUCUUCGGAAGCAUUUGUUCCUUGAGCGGAGUCCUGGUCAUCGCUCUCCCGGUACCGGUCAUCGUUUCUAAU